rnacentral:rRNA from 1 species
AACGAACGCUGGCGGCAGGCCUAACACAUGCAAGUCGAGCGCACCCUUCGGGGUGAGCGGCGGACGGGUGAGUAACGCGUGGGAACGUGCCCUUCUCUGCGGAAUAGCCUCGGGAAACUGAGAGUAAUACCGCAUACGCCCUUUGGGGGAAAGAUUUAUCGGAGAAGGAUCGGCCCGCGUUGGAUUAGGUAGUUGGUGGGGUAAUGGCCCACCAAGCCGACGAUCCAUAGCUGGUUUGAGAGGAUGAUCAGCCACACUGGGACUGAGACACGGCCCAGACUCCUACGGGAGGCAGCAGUGGGGAAUCUUAGACAAUGGGGGCAACCCUGAUCUAGCCAUGCCGCGUGAGUGAUGAAGGCCUUAGGGUUGUAAAGCUCUUUCAGCUGGGAAGAUAGUGACGGUACCAGCAGAAGAAGCCCCGGCUAACUCCGUG